GUAACUUGGUUUUUGGAUAUAUGUGAGUGUGUGUGUGUGUGUGUGUGUAUUAAUUUGAAUUUAGUUUGUUGAUGCAAAUCAUGAAUAUUGUUCGUUUGAGAUAUUCAAAUCAUAAUUCAUUAGGAUUUCGUUUAGCCUACAGAAUCGCUGCUCUGUAAGUUAUGAACUGAUGUGGAUGCUACUGUCAUGAAUUUUUGAGAGCUUUUUACCGGUUGCCUUGCCUUCCAUGUCAAGGUUUCUCAAGGGAAAGUGUUUGACAAGUUUUCACUACUUAUGGUGGUCAAUAGUUUCCAAGAAAUCCCAACUCUGAUUUACAGUCUAGACAAAAAACAAAAUCUCCCAUGGAAUUGUAUUUAUAUGAUUGAUCCACCCAUGAGAUUCCUUUUUUUUCCUAUUCUUUUUCUUUUUCUAUUUUUUGGGUGGGGUGGGGUGAGUGUGAGACAAGCAUAAGAGGUUAUCAAGCAUAGCAUGUUAUGUCCUAGUUUUCGUGUUUUGCAUUGACAUUCAAAGGAGUCAUCUGUCUACAUGAAAAUAAUGGAAAAUGAUUCUCUAUAUUUAAAACAAAUCUAAAAGUGUACACAUGACCAUGUUAUUUAAAAUUGACAGUCUGAACACUGUUAGAUUUAGAAAUAAAAUCUUAACCAUGAAAUUUAUGAAAUUGAGAGGUCAUAUUCAGUUAGUUAUGUGUGAAGUUUCAUAUAUAUAUAUAUAUAUUGCCCCAUAUAAUUAGCAAUUGAGAAUAGGCACUAAGAACAUUCACUUCUUUAAUCAGAACAAUUGAGGUCCACAUUUAAAAUGAUUUACAAUAACCAUCCUAACUAGGCUAACCUUACUGUAACUCUUCCUUCCAAAUACAAAGCAGUUGAGGGGAAGGUCUUCACUCUUGAAGACAUCUUGCAUCACUUUGCUUGAAUUCAAUGAAGUGGUAUGAGUUUGCAGCCAUGAACCUUAGAACACCUUUAAACGCUAGCACAUAACAAAAAGAGCCGACAUUUAUGCAAGAAAUUGAUUUGAUAUAGUGCAAGGUCUAUCAGAGAGACUAAAUAAUAGUUUUGAAUUCAAGUCACAUUUUACCUGGAAAUAGCAAUAGAUUAAUUUCCUUGAACAGAUUGUCUUGACAGAUUGCAACAAGAAGUAAUAUGAUUGUCAAACUUAUUUAUCUUCAAUCGACAUCUUAACUUCAAUUGUUACAGAGUUCAUUUUUAAGCUGGAAUUAUAUACACUUCCAAUGAUGGUGAGCUUGGCCAACAAUUUCUUUCAAAUAUGUUUUCUUUGAGUGGGACUGAGUUUUUUGUGCAUCUUCAUUAUGUGCCUUAUGGAAACUAGUUACUGAAAAUCCUAAGGGCAGCGGUGGGUCUACUGCUGGUGAUUUUUUCCUCAAAACUCUCUUCAGAAAUUAACCAUUUAACCGUCCUUUUUGUGAUGAGGAAAUGAUUGAACCCUAGAUCUCUUAUUCAACCAUUCGAGACCAUUUGUCCCAUUUGUGUUCUUGCAGCUUGAAAGGCCUUGAAAUCUUUUGACAUAUGGGCUGAAAAAGAGACAUGUUCGGAUUGGGCAAGAUUGGUAUGUCGCUUAGCCUUCAAGUCUAAAUCAAAGGAUUUAGAUUAGUUCACUUCCAAUGUAAGUUUGCAUUUUGCUUUAACUCGUAAAAAAGAAGAAGUAAUUUUACAUUUUCUUAGUUUGUAAUUAUAAAUAAAAGCAAUGCAAUUUUUCAUUAUUUUGCAACAAGGUAAAAGCCAUGUAAUUUUCUUAUUUCAUAUUUUUGUUAUGAUAAUGUAAUUUUGGAUUAGCUAAUAAAAUGCAUAUUUUAUUGGGUUU